UACGUAGGGUGCGAGCGUUAAUCGGAAUUCCUGGGCGUAAAGCGUGCGCAGGCGGUCUGUUAAGACCGAUGUGAAAUCCCCGGGCUUAACCUGGGAACUGCAUUGGUGACUGGCAGGCUUUGAGUGUGGCAGAGGGAGGUAGAAUUCCACGUGUAGCAGUGAAAUGCGUAGAGAUGUGGAGGAACACCGAUGGCGAAGGCAGCCCCCUGGGCUAAGAUUGACGCUCAUGCACGAAAGCGUGGGGAGCAAACAGG
rnacentral:rRNA from 1 species